AGUUGAAUCUCCAUAAUCUUAAUCACAUCUCUUUUUUCUCUAUUCUCCCUGUUGAUUUCUUUUCCUUUUUCUUAUAGCAGGUGCAAGAUAUUGAUGAGCUACAGGUUUAAGCACAAAGAUGUGGAUUUGUAAGAUAUAAAUGAGGUGUCAGUUAGGAUUUGUGCCUUUUCUCUAUUUAUUUUGAUUUGUUUUUUUACUUUGUUCUAAUUUUCGCAUUCUUAGUUGAUCUUUGUUCAUCCGUUAUAUUUUUAUUUUUUGGUGAUCUUAUUUUUAUUUAUUUUUGAUUUAGGGUUUGUUCUUUUCUCUAUUUAUUUCGAUUUUUUAUUUUUCUUUCGUAUUUCACUGUUUUUUGGUUUACUAAGUGCGAAUUCUAACUGAUGCUCUUCGACCUAAAAGGGUCGUCACAUGGACGUACAACAGAUAAGCAAACCUAGAGGAUAUAGUAUGCUAGAUGAUACACCAACAGAAUGGUGCAAUAGAUAUUGCAUAUACCUUUGAAUGUUCUGAUCCAUUCUAAUCUUAUUUGUUCUUUGAUGCAUUCUGCUAACAUUGAUCACGUCCCUCUCCAACAGAAAUCAACCCGUAAAGACCUUGAUCUUAUAUUUCGCCUACAGACAGCAUGUUUUCAAAAGCUGCAGAGGCAAGUUUAUAGGGACUGCGAUCUUCAGGAACAAGAAAAAAUUAUGGAUUAUAGUCUUUUGGUAGGAUUCGCACUAGUAAAGCGUCAUAUAGUCGAGGUUUACUCAUGAAUCCCUGGUUGCCGAAAUCCAACAGAUGUGGUGCAGAUUACAGAGAGGGUUGUUACUACGCUAAUAUAUGAACUACUUUGAAUCUAUAAAUCUCAACGAAAUGACAUUCUAUGCAAUUGUGCAUACCUUUUAUAUUGAUCUGUGUAUCGUAUUCGUAAGUAGUAAGUUCACAAGGACGUGAAAAAUCUGGAAGAAGUUGAGACGAGGUACAAAGAUCUGUCAAGAAGAAAAGUUGAAAAGAGGGUUCCAAAUUUUCUGGAACUGGAAACUCAGAUGGAAAAAGAAGGUUGGAAAUCAAGCUUACCUUAAUUCAAAAAUGUCCAUACUCACUCCAGUAAAUUGUACCUCAUGCGGAAGAUUGGAGGCUAAGAUGUUUGGAUUUAUAAGUAGGCACUGGAGGGUUUUCUUAUAUCAAUCGUGUUUACGAUUUAAUGUUGGUACGGGAAUAAAACUGUUAAAAAAUCAUUUUACAUCUCAGUUCUUAUAUCAAGCGUGUUUAUGCAAUUAGCAGGCAGGUACUCACCGGGCUUCACAAAAGGGACAAAGCUUUCUACAAUGCAUACAAGACGGAAUGCCAAAAGUAGUACGGAAAGUUUGAGACGUUUGAGAAAAGGUGCAAGACUAAGUUUGGAGCAGGGGAAUAGAAGAUCAGAAGAUGAAAAUGUGGUAUUAAACACCAAGUUUAGUAAGUUGGAUAGCCAAACAGUCUUGCGGAUUAAAGAAUAUGGUGGUUCUAAGGAACUUGCACACUAAAUGUCGGCAUCAGGUUGUGUAAUGCAGUCUUUGGUGCAUUGUGAUUGUUCCUCUCAUGACACCUUUUUACGUCUUUGGAAAUACUAACAACGUUACUUCUCUUUGCCAUAAAUUACUGGCUAUUGCCUGGGUAUUCAUGCAGAGAGUGAAAGACGGCCCGGUGCAAGAAAAGGAUCGACUAUGAUUCUUUUUCCUUUCACAUUUUAUUGACUCCAGUUCAAAACAAAAUUUCCAGUAUAAGCAGUCUAUGUAAGGUAUUUCGUCGCGGGAAGCCUGAACAUACCAAUUUCGUUGCCGGAGUCCAAAAGAGAGGUGUACACGAGAACACACACAAUCAUGAGAAUAAUCGAAAGACAAAGAAAAAGAGGAACAUGAGACAAAGCGAAAAUGAGGCUGCAUCAGUAGGCGCGGUCUACUACAAAUACAUCUACCAUUGCAAUGGCAGAAGGAGCAACUGUGAAAGGCUCUCAGGUGGAGGAAAAGAAGUCCAAGCUAUUAAAACUUUCACGGUUGGUCGGGCCGGGGUUAUCAUAUCCACAUGCUUGUGACUCUUAGCCCUCAGUAGAAGGGAUCUUAAUAUCUGAAUUUUUGUGUUUGUGAGCGGCAUAGGCUUUUGUUUAUAUACGCUUAUUGCUACCCGUGAUCUUUAUGUUUUUUUGGCAGUGAUAGAGCUUUGAUGCAAAAGACAGAAGAUGACUUUCAAAAAUGCAAAUCCAUCUCUUCAACUUCAGAUUACAAAACUUAAUUUA